rnacentral:rRNA from 1 species
GACGAACGCUGGCGGCGCGCCUAACACAUGCAAGUCGAACGAGCGAGAGAGAGCUUGCUUUCUCAAGCGAGUGGCGAACGGGUGAGUAACGCGUGAGGAACCUGCCUCAAAGAGGGGGACAACAGUUGGAAGCGACUGCUAAUACCGCAUAAGCCCACAGGUCGGCAUCGACCAGAGGGAAAAGGAGCAAUCCGCUUUGAGAUGGCCUCGCGUCCGAUUAGCUAGUUGGUGAGGUAACGGCCCACCAAGGCAACGAUCGGUAGCCGGACUGAGAGGUUGAACGGCCACAUUGGGACUGAGACACGGCCCAGACUCCUACGGGAGGCAGCAGUGGGGAAUAUUGCACAAUGGGGGAAACCCUGAUGCAGCGACGCCGCGUGGAGGAAGAAGGUCUUCGGAUUGUAAACUCCUGUUGUUGAGGAAGAUAAUGACGGUACUCAACAAGGAAGUGACGGCUAACUACGUG